rnacentral:rRNA from 1 species
UGUUUCCAUUAAUCAAGAACGAAAGUUAGAGGUUCGAAGGCGAUCAGAUACCGCCCUAGUUCUAACCAUAAACGAUGCCAACCAGCGAUCCGCCUGGGUUCCUCAAAUGACUCGGCGGGCAGCUUCCGGGAAACCAAAGUGUUUGGGUUCCGGGGGAAGUAUGGUUGCAAAGCUGAAACUUAAAGGAAUUGACGGAAGGGCACCACAAGAAGUGGAGCCUGCGGCUUAAUUUGACUCAACACGGGAAAACUUACCCGGCCCGGACACUGGAAGGAUUGACAGAUUAAGAGCUCUUUCUUGAUUCAGUGGGUGGUGGUGCAUGGCCGUUCUUAGUUGGUGGAGCGAUUUGUCUGGUUAAUUCCGUUAACGAGCGAGACUCCCAUCUACCAAGUAGCCGAUCCCAUCCCUUGCGUGGGACGGUCUUCUUAGAGAGAGAAGCGGCGUUUAGCCGCACGAAACGGAGCAAUAACAGGUCUGUGAUGCCCUUAGAUGUCCGGGGCCGCACGCGCGCUACACUGAAGGAAUCAGCGUGUGCUCUCCCUGUCCGGUAGGACUGGGUAACCCGUGGAACCUCCUUCGUGAUGGGGAUAGGGGCUUGUAAUUGUUCCCCUUGAACGAGGAAUUCCUAGUAAGCGCGAGUCAUAAGCUCGUGUUGAUUACGUCCCUGCCCUUUGUCCACACCGCCCGUCGCUACUACCGAUUGAAUGAUUUAGUGAGGUCUUCGGACUGGCGCUCGGGACGGCCAGACGGCCAUCACGACGUGCCGGAAAGAUGCCCAAACUUGAUCAUUUAGAGGAAGUAAAAGUCGUAACAAGGUUUCC